rnacentral:rRNA from 1 species
AGUGAACGCUGGCGGUAGGCCUAACACAUGCAAGUCGAACGGCAGCACAGGAGAGCUUGCUCUCUGGGUGGCGAGUGGCGGACGGGUGAGGAAUACAUCGGAAUCUACUCUGUCGUGGGGGAUAACGUAGGGAAACUUACGCUAAUACCGCAUACGACCUACGGGUGAAAGCAGGGGACCUUCGGGCCUUGCGCGAUUGAAUGAGCCGAUGUCGGAUUAGCUAGUUGGCGGGGUAAAGGCCCACCAAGGCGACGAUCCGUAGCUGGUCUGAGAGGAUGAUCAGCCACACUGGAACUGAGACACGGUCCAGACUCCUACGGAAGGCAGCAGUGGGGAAUAUUGGACAAUGGGCGCAAGCCUGAUCCAGCCAUACCGCGUGUGUGAAGAAGGCCUUCGGGUUGUAAAGCACUUUAGUUGGGGAAGAAAAGUAAUAAGUAAAUAAUUUAUUGCUCUGACGGUACCCAAAGAAUAAGCACCGGCUAACUCUGUGCCAGCCGCCGCCGUAA